ACUCCUACGGGAGGCAGCAGUGGGGAAUAUUGCACAAUGGGCGCAAGCCUGAUGCAGCCAUGCCGCGUGUAUGAAGAAGGCCUUCGGGUUGUAAAGUACUUUCAGCAGUGAGGAAGGCGGGUACGUUAAUAGCGUGCUUGUUUGACGUUAGCUGCAGAAGAAGCACCGGCUAACUCCGUGCCAGCAGCCGCGGUAAUACGGAGGGUGCGAGCGUUAAUCGGAAUUACUGGGCGUAAAGCGCAUGCAGGUGGUUCGUUAAAGUCAGAUGUGAAAGCCCGGGGCUCAACCUCGGAAUUGCAAUUUGAAACUGGCGGACUAGAGUACUGUAGAGGGGGGUAGAAUUUCAGGUGUAGCGGUGAAAUGCGUAGAGAUCUGAAGGAAUACCGGUGGCGAAGGCGGCCCCCUGGACAGAUACUGACACUCAGAUGCGAAAGCGUGGGGAGCAAACAGGAUUAGAUACCCUGGU
rnacentral:rRNA from 1 species